rnacentral:lncRNA from 1 species
GACCACGGCUUUUCCUAUCUCAUCCUUCUUCUCACUCUCAUUCAACUUUUCUGUUUCUAUCUCCUCUAUCUUUUUGGCAACAACAACUUUUUCUGUUUUUGUUUCCUCUUCAUACAUCUCUAGCUCUUCUUCUUCUAUCUUUUCCUCCUUGACAACCUUAUCAUUUGUAAAGAUAAUGGCUUGACAUUCUUCUUUAGGGUUAACUUCAGUAUUAACCCUAAUGAUGCCUAGAGACUUCAAAACAUGAGAGUGUUGUUCCUGCAAUAAACGUUCUUUAGCUUCCCCCAAUGUUUCUUUGCGUACAGGAGAUUGUUUUUGUUGUAAACGUUGUUGGGCUUCCCCUAACGUUUCUUUUGGUACGGAGAAUAAGUUCUGCCGCAAGAAUUUUUGGACUUCCCCCAACGUUUCUUUUGGUACAGAGAAUAGUUCC